CGUCCUCUGCCGUGUGCGACGGCGUGUGCAAACAUUCGCCUUGUUCCUUAAUGACGACACCGGGAGCGUGGCGGACACCUGGCGCGCAAGCCCGCCCGUGAGCGGGAAGCCCGAAGGUGGCCCAGCGUUCCCACUUGAACCCCGGGUUCAAGGUCGUUUCGCACGCAUCGGCAUGGUGGAGGACGC
rnacentral:other from 1 species